rnacentral:rRNA from 1 species
AUUUUAGAUUUAACAACCAACACUAAAGUACUAAAAGCUAUGAUCUCUAAAUUUAAAGGAUUUGGCGGUGAUUUAAUCCCAUUAGAGGAACCUGUUAUAGAAACGAUAAACCACGCAAAAUCUUACCUUUUUUCAGUUUGUAUACCGUCAUUAUUAGAUAACUUCGCAAGAAAAUAGUUAUUGAAAUAAUUCCCCUUAAUAUAUUAGAUCAAGGUGCAGCGCAUAAAAAGGUGGUCAAUGGGUUACAAUAAUUUUAGUUAUACGGAUUAAAAAUUUAAAUAUUUUUUUAAAGGAGGAUUUAAUAGUAAAAUUAAUUUAAUAAGUUAGUUUGACUUCGGACCUAAAUCGUGUACAUAUCGCCCGUCACUUCCAUUACCAGAUGGAAUAAGUCGUAACAUAG